GCCUUUCACAUGCUCCACUGCCCUCCCAUCAUAUUGUACAGAUUCAGAAGACUUGUGUGCAAUAAUCGGCAACGAAGCUUGAGAAAUAUUUGGUCCAUCUUUAUGCUUGUCUGAGCCCAAGGAACCUCGUCCAUAGGAAGGGUGAAGCUGCUGAAGAUGAGAAGCUGCACCGCGGGAAUUAUCCUUCUCCAAUGUUGGCAGCUGUAUGGAAGAGUAGCCAAACAUCAAUGGCAAAUUAGUAGGUAUGACAGGCUGGGCUCCAGGUCUAUCUCCACUAGUGGUAGCUAUUACUUGCAUCAUGCCAGGAACUGCGUAACCAGUCGUACUUGCUGUAUUACCAGGGUUAGAAUCUCUCAGAGGCAUAGAGUAUGGUAGGUUCAUGAUGUUUAUUGAUUGGCCUUGGAAUGGGGUACUGUAUGGCGUAUUACCGAACUUAACAUCCUUUUCAGAAGAAAUGGUAAACCUUCUCUGUCCAAGUAAUUCUACACCACUUGAAUCAGAAACACCACGAAGCUCCUUAUGAACCUCAGCACUACUUCCAACAAAUCUUUUAGAGUUCUCAUCAUGCUGCAAAAUUUGCCUGGAAGUUGAACCCACAGUUUCAGAAUCAGCUACAUCAUCAUUUUCUGCAGUCGAACCAUCAUCUGUUGUUAUUGAAAUGUGUGAUGCCCUUGUCUUGUCAUGCAUAUCGACAUGAUGAGCUUCUCUCUCAUGCUUCUUUUGUUGACUUGACUCCCGGAACAAAUUUUUACGCUUUUCACCCACUUCAGUUCUCCUUUCUUCUUCAACUUCUAUAGGUCUAUUAUCAUUUGGAACCCAGAAUCCUCCACUAUUUAACUUUUUAGAAGCAUCUGCAUCAGCACUAGUGCUGGAAAGCAAGUUCCCACCAUGUUUUGUUGAAUCACUUCUCUGAGAACCGACACCACAAUCAUGCUUUUGGCUGCUAGUGCCUCCAUCCAGAAAGUUCUUGAAAUCAUUAAUCACUUUUCCAUCUCUAUCAACUUCCUCAACCUUGGAAUCCGAUGAGCUCCCACUUUUACUUUUCUCUGACGCAACCACCCCACCACAGGGCAGGCCCAAGCUUAGAUCAAGAUCAUUUUCGUCCAUUCUAAUCAAACACAAAACACAUUGACCAGAUUCACACGUGAAACUUCAGUUCACUCUGAUGAAUAAAACUGUGAACCACAGACGGAGCUGAUGAAAGUGGACGUUGCCGCCGCGGUGAAGACGAGUCGACGGCUAGCAGUAGGUGGGAUGUGGGCG
rnacentral:misc_RNA from 1 species